rnacentral:misc_RNA from 1 species
AACACAAAGAUAAAAUAAAACGAAUAGAGAAACA